rnacentral:rRNA from 1 species
GCAACUCGCCUGCAUGAAGUCGGAAUUGCUAGUAAUCGUAGGUCAGCAUACUACGGUGAAUACGUUCCCGGGCCCUGUACACACCGCCCGUCAAACCAUGAGAGUUGGCAACACCCGAAGUCGGUAGUCUAACCGCAAGGAGGACGCCGCCGAAGGUGGGGUUGAUGAUUAGGGUUAAGUCGUAACAAGGUACC